UACGGAGGGUGCGAGCGUUGUCCGGAAUCACUGGGCGUAAAGAGCUCGUAGGUGGUCUGUUGCGUCGGUUGUGAAAACCCGGGGCUUAACUCCGGGCCUGCAGUCGAUACGGGCAGACUAGAGUUCGGCAGGGGAGACUGGAAUUCCUGGUGUAGCGGUGAAAUGCGCAGAUAUCAGGAGGAACACCGGUGGCGAAGGCGGGUCUCUGGGCCGUAACUGACGCUGAGGAGCGAAAGCAUGGGGAGCGAACAGG
rnacentral:rRNA from 1 species